ACGGCAGACGGGAAGUCCUAAUACGAGCAAGUCGACCGGGAUCCAUUUGUUAGCUUGCUAACAAUUGGUGAGAGUGGCGCACGGGUGCGUAACGCGUGAGCAACCUACCCAUAUCAGGGGGAUAGCCCGAAGAAAUUCGGAUUAACACCGCAUAAGACUACGAGAUGGCAUCAUCAAGUAGUUAAAUAUUUAUAGGAUAUGGAUGGGCUCGCGUGACAUUAGCUAGUUGGUGAGGUAACGGCUCACCAAGGCGACGAUGUCUAGGGGCUCUGAGAGGAGAAUCCCCCACACUGGUACUGAGACACGGACCAGACUCCUACGGGAGGCAGCAGUAAGGAAUAUUGGUCAAUGGACGGAAGUCUGAACCAGCCAUGCCGCGUGCAGGAUGACUGCCCUAUGGGUUGUAAACUGCUUUUGUCGAGGAAUAAACCUAUCUACGUGUAGAUAGCUGAAUGUACUCGAAGAAUAAGGAUCGGCUAACUCCGUGCCAGCAGCCGCGGUAAUACGGAGGAUCCGAGCGUUAUCCGGAUUUAUUGGGUUUAAAGGGUGCGUAGGCGGCACUUUAAGUCAGGGGUGAAAGACGGCAGCUUAACUGUCGCAGUGCCUUUGAUACUGAAGUGCUUGAAUGCGGUUGAAGACGGCGGAAUGAGACAAGUAGCGGUGAAAUGCAUAGAUAUGUCUCAGAACACCGAUUGCGAAGGCAGCUGUCUAAGCCGUUAUUGACGCUGAUGCACGAAAGCGUGGGGAUCGAACAGGAUUAGAUACCCUGGUAGUCCACGCCCUAAACGAUGAUAACUCGAUGUUUGCGAUAUACAGUAAGCGUCCAAGCGAAAGCGUUAAGUUAUCCACCUGGGGAGUACGC
rnacentral:rRNA from 1 species